rnacentral:rRNA from 1 species
GAUGAACGCUGGCGGCGUGCUUAACACAUGCAAGUCGAGCGAAAGGACGAGAUGCUUGCUUUUCUGAUGUUAGAGGCGGACAGGACAGUAAUCCGUGGAUAACCCAACUUUUAGACUCGGAUACUAUUGGGAAACAGGAGCUAUAUAUGGCUAAUAUUAUGAAUCAAAUGUAUCUACAGUGUAAGACAGCCUUGCUGUCAAUUAUCGAUGUAUCCGGGUUGCAUUGGCUAGUGGGUAAGGUAACGACUUACCCAGGGAACGAUGCGUAGCCGACCUGAGAGGGUGGGCGGCCACCCUGGAACGGAGACAGGCUCCAAAGGCCUAGGGGAGGCAGCAGUAGGCAAUCUUGCGGAAUGGGCGAAAGCCUUACGGAGCAGCGCCGCGUGAGUGAUGAAGGUCUUCGGUGCGUAAAACGCUGUUAUUAGGGAAGAACAGAUGUGUAAGUAACUGAGAACAACUUGACGGUACCUAAUCAGAAAGCCACGGCUAACUACGUG